rnacentral:rRNA from 1 species
UACAGAGGGUGCGAGCGUUGUCCGGAAUCACUGGGCGUAAAGGGCGCGUAGGCGGCGCGGUAAGCGUGCGGUGAAAGCCCGGGGCUCAACCCCGGGUCGGCCGUGCGGACUGCCGGGCUGGAGCACUGUAGAGGCAGGUGGAAUUCCGGGUGUAGCGGUGGAAUGCGUAGAGAUCGGGAAGAACAUCAGUGGCGAAGGCAGGUCGUCUGGGCCGCAACUGACGCUGAGGAGCGAAAGCGUGGGAGCAACAGGG